GUAUAGCUGUAGUGAGGAGGUGUCUGCAGGAAACAGCAAUGUAUCCCCAAUAAUAUCACCGAAUUUCUUUGUAGCUGAUCAGAAACAAUAAAAGAUGUUUCACUUUCGGCUGAAAGACUCGGUGUUCUCCGGGGCGCUUCCUCCAGCGGCAACAUUACAUAGAAAUUCGUUCAAUAAAACGAAUCAAUAGCUCCAAUUACUUCUGAUUCAGAUGAAGGGACCGUAUCACAAAUAGGUUGAUCACCGCGAGAUGCACGAUCAUCUAUCUAUUUGGGAAACAACUCUCAGAUUCGUUAUCAAAUGCUGAUGGAUCACCAACCAUAGAAUGGCUGUUAUUCUACAAAAGAGAUAGAAGACAACGCGAGCAGAAGCCGACACAACAAUACGUGUAACGAGGAUACUGCACAAAGCCUUUGCAUCGGUCAAGAUGGAUUUCAUCAUUUCAGGUCCUUCAGUGCGUGAUCGUUUACCCUGUAAUCGAAAAAAGAAAAUAAAACACACGUGUCGUUAUUCUCUAUCGUGAGAGGUGGCAAUUA